UUUUUGUUUUUUUUUAUACCAGAACUAUGCAGAUGAAACAAAGCUGAACCUUUUGUUUCUGCCAGAUGAAGGAAUAGACAUUAGAGCAGUGGAACUCUGAGUCCCAAUUUGAUAUCGCUGGUUCCACCUGCGGCAUCUUGGUGUGAUGCAGAAAAGUUGGAUCACUGCUUUUUGAAGAGGACAGCGAGGUCGUCAACGGUCCCAAAGGAGUUCCCAGAGACGCUGAGCACAUGUUGGCCCUUUUGCAUUACACUGCGGCCCAGCUCAUCCGAAACCAUCUUGAUUGGGUUUAGGUCAGAGUAGACCCAACAGAGCCCGACUGGCUGUUGGCCUAAUGACAUAAUGAGAUAAGAGCUGCACGUAAGCGGAGGCUCCAUCUGGCUCAGUCCAACUCUUUUGGACACUGUCCCUUUUGCUUGUGCAAUAAAGUUCAGUGAAAAUGUGAAAAAACGAC
rnacentral:lncRNA from 1 species